UCCUGGGCCCGAACCGGACCACGCCGCCGCCCGCAGCUCCCUCUCGCGCAAGCUCCCCUCGCGCCCGCAAGCCGCCUCGCCGGCGACCCCACACCUUUGCCACGCCCCGCCGCCGGCGACCUUCCCCGCUGGAUCUUCGGUCGCUCCGCCACCUCGCCCCUCUCCUUUCCUCCUUCUUCUCGAUCUCCUCUCACCUCUCUUCCUCUUUCUCACUGGACAGGACAUCCAUGGCGCCGCUGGACCUCAAUCUCGCUGGAUCUGGCCGCCUCCACGCCAAAUCCGCCGGAAAUGGAUCCACCCCGGCCAGAUCCGCUCGGAUCCACCGGGCCCCGCCGUCGUCGCCACCGGAGCGCCGCCCCGCUCGACCUGCAGCGCCACCUUCCAUCGGUAGCCCCCAGUCUCGGUCGCCACGCGAUCAUGCGGAUGAUGCUCGGCGUGUCACUGUAAUUGCCGGCUACUGCCGCUCCCUGCCCCUGUUCAAUUAAGCCAACGCUUGAAAUUUUGGUUCAGAAUGAUCUGCUCUUCAAUCCUUGCUGAUUUGUGGUUUUGAGACCCACCCAAGCAGGGUCUGCGGUCAUGAGGAGAACCUGCUAUUCCUGGAGGCCUGGCAGAUAGUCGAUCCCGCUACUACCACAAGUCCGCUUUGUGACGAGCUGGUCAACACACGGGAGGAGACAUAUAUGAUUCCACUUGCGCAAAGUCUGCCUGUACUGCUAUCCAUAUUGCCCCAUAGCAAUACAAUUUAUCUACUGCCUCAAUAGCUCACUUCUGCAAGUCAUAACAUGCCACUUAAUAUUUUAGAAAGUACAACCGAGUUUAAUAAGUGGAUCAAAUGCAGUUGUCAUGCACCUCCUUGGUUGAAUCCGAAUUCUGUUAGAAACAUGGCAAACCACCUAAAUAUGCCAUUGAUCUGUACAAAACUGAGAGAUUUUGUGUUUUUAUAGUUCUUUUGUGCUCUAACCGAAUUUGAUUAUCUGACAUUUUUUCAGAUGUUGCAACCUUGGGCGAUCGGUUCUUUGGAUUCUUGAAACCAAUGCCUUUUCUGAAGUAAGUUUGGCAUGCAAGGUGCCCUCACGGUUUAUUUUCAAGAUGGCGCUGGGGUCUCGGGGACGUGCCGGAAGGCGUCGCGUUCCUGCACCUUGGGGAUGGCUUUGGGUCGAAUUCUCCUCCAUGCAAUCUUGUGCUCCUUUGGGUGUUUCUAAUCUUUCUGCCUUCUAGUGUAAAUAGAGGUAUGGUGCCUAGAGUUCAACUAUUUAUCCUAUGUAGUAUAAUUGACAUUUAAGUUAUACAACCUUUCUAGAUUUCUCAAUAUCAUGCCUAGAGCUUAUAAUCCUUUCUUUGAAGAUCCAUAGCCAGACUUUGAAACUGUUGCACAUACAUAAAUUAAACUAGCUGCCUGUAGUACGAGUAUUAUAUAGAUUUGUAUGUAUGUGGUUACUUUGUUCUAUGGCAAAAGGGUUCAAGGCUAGCAUUUUUUUAAAUAUAGCACAUUCAUAUAAAUUUUCUUGCAAUUCUAACUAUGAAAUCCACAUUCAUUCAGUAGUUUUUAUGUAACAAUAUAAAUGAUCUUUCAGUCACAAUGCCAGUAUUUAGAACUAAAUCUGAUGGGCCUAAAUUCCCCUUGGACCCCCACCCCCUCCUUAUAUUCCUAUAUCUCCAAUCUCCUUUCUCCACCGGCUAUCAGAGAAUAGAGAUCACAUUAUGAAUUUGUUUUUUGUCAGAGAUGUUCUCCCAUCGCUAUUAGCUGUCAAAUUUGCGAUGCAAUCCGUCCCUAUGUCGGCACAAUCAGCAGAACAAAGCAGCUAUCAUGAUUUGCCCAUUGAUCUCUUGGAGUGAUUCAAACGUGCAAGCACCAGGGUAAUGACUCAUGCUCUACUAUGUCAGAUUGAGUGACUUCUGCAUAUGAUGACUGAAGAAUUUUUCAUCAAUUUUCCAACCUGAAUUAGCUACAGAAUUUGGGAAAAGAGGAGUCCAGGCUCUGAUGAACACACCGUCUUUCCUAGAAACCACUUCAACUAGCCCAGGACUGUGUCUAUUAGUCCUCCAGUAUUUGUUGAGAUGAGAUAACACAUUGUAUGACAGGUAACAAGCAACUGAAGCAAGAAGAUUUUUUAAAUUUCUUGGAAAGUAUAACCAUCUUAACCCAGGAUGCAUGAUGAAGGAUCCAAUAUGUCAGGACCAACGAGGGAAUUGCAAUAUGUCAGAACCAAUGAGAGAAUUGUAGAGCUUUACAUUAAGUUUAUUUUAGCUGCUUGCCCGCUUCAAGUGUCUAGAUUACAGGAAACAUGUUUCUUUAAGUGACAAACCUGGAUACCAAUUUAUUCAAACUAUUAUAUUUCUUAUAGAAGUAAUGCAAUAUAUUUUCUC